UCUAGGUCUAGCCUUUAGGAGGACUGGCACCUUCCGCCCAGCCUCCAGGAAGGCCUGAGCUGCCAUGGUAGAAGUCGGACUACCUUUAGAGAAAGAACCCUGGAGAGUCCUGAGACUCAAAGCAGAGAAGCCCUGCUGAGCCUGACCUCUAUACCAAUCUAUCAGCUGUGAGACCAGCUGGGACCUACCAGACCAGUCCAAUCACCUGCUGAAUACCACCAGGAUACUGAAAAACGCAGGCUUUUAAAAAGCACCAGACACCAACCAAGCGGAUUUAGGACUCUCAAGUAUGGAAAGCCACAUCUAAACUAUGUUUAAAUCCAAUUUUUUUACACAAAUUCCAAGCAUGUUGUCUGGUACUAAAAAGUACUUAGAGGGCCGGGGAUUUAGCUCACUGGUUUCGCUGCCUGCUGCGCAAGCACAAGGACCCGAGUUUGAUCCCCAGUACCAAAAAAAAAAGCACUUAGAAUUUACUUAGUGGAACAGAUUCUCCUAAAUAUUACCUAUCACUGGAGACAAGGGAUUGGAAUAGGAGAUCUGCUCCCAUGAGAUACUUUAACUUCUGUCAUUACAGAUUAAUUCAGAUUUAAGAUUCACAGUAUAUUCAGUUGUGAUAUAGGACAUAAGAAUUAGAAACACUAACAAAUGGAAAGAAGUCUUCAGAUGUUUCAUUAUAUUUAAAACAUCCAGGGAGGGGAAAAAAAAAAAAGGAAGAUUUGGGUUUUUAGUACUCUAUGUAAGAAUAGAGUGAGUUUACUUCAGGAAAUUAAAGUGAAGAUUUAUAGGCUAGGGGAAAAGUAUAGGUUUCUAAUCUAGAAAAACAGUACUCCUGGUAAGAACUGAAACUACUCAAAUUAUUUUUUAAUUCUUACUUUUUUUUUUUUUUGGUACUGGGGAUUGAACUCCGGUCCUUGUGCUUGCGUAGCAGACGGCAAAACCACUGAGCUAAAUCCCCGGCCCAUAUUUUUUAAUUCUAAUGGGAAUAAAUUCAUUCUGGUCAUUACUAUCAAACCAGUUCAAGUCAACUCAGAGGAAUGGCAAAACUCACUUAUAAAAACAUUACUUUUCAAACAGUCUUUUAUGUAAAC
rnacentral:lncRNA from 1 species